UUUGGAAUUACUUGGAAAAUUCAUGCUGGACAGACAAACAGCAGCAGGGGGUAUAGCUCAGUGGUAGAGCAUUUGACUGCAGAUCAAGAGGUCCCUGGUUCAACUCCAGGUGCCCCCUUCACACUGUGGACUUUUUUCCUGAGAAAAACCAUGAGGAGCAUUCCUUAUUUUUAAACCCUGUCUGUUUGUGCCUUGCCCAGAGAGCUGGUUUCCAGAAUUCCAUUUUCAUGACACUGCAUUCAUCUAAGGAUAUACAACCAAAAUCAGUAUCUGUGUCUGUGUAAAGGCAUCAUGCCAGUUGCUGGGCCAUAGUAGUUGUUGGAUCAAUGAGGAAACUGCACUGGUUCUAGCCUGUGUAAGUAUUUAUUCAGCAUUGUUGUCUGUAAUUCUGGUUGUCUGUUGUUGCUAUAGCAUGUAUGUUAAGAAUCAAAGGAUGAUGUCAUAUAAAAACGUUAACCCAUCAACAUAAAAACUGGGCUUUUUUGUUUUUCA